CCCCAGCCUAACCCUCUCCCAAUCCUUGCAGCCGCCACCUCCCCCCACCGCAUCCCCAUCUCCGUCUCGUCGCGGCCGCCGCGUCCCCAUCUCCGGCUCGUCGCGGCCGCCUCCCUAGCUCUCCACCACAGCCGGCCUCCUCUCCGGCGAGCCGUCGUCGCCCGCGCCCUCUCCUCUUCCCCCUAUGGCGCUCGAGGGGCGGCGCUGGGCCGGAGGUGGAGGAGGUCGGCCGCGAGGUUCCAGGGUGCCGCUGCCACGGUCAAACCGUAGCCGCCGCCCAAUCCCCUCGCGUGCUACGCCCCUGCCCAAUCCCCUUCCUUCUCCUGCCACCAUCCUUCUCCUCCUUCACCUCUCGUCCCUGCCCUUCUCGUCUCCGACCUCGCAGCUCCCAUGGCCGUCGUGGGAGGAGCGGCUGGUGGCCGGCGGGAGCUGCAUCCCGUGCCGCCACCGGAUGAGCGGUUGGUGGCCGACGGGAGCAGUCCGUCGCCGUCGCUAGAGGAGUGGCUGCUGGCCGGCGGGCGCAUCGCAGCCACACCGCCGACGCCCGUCGUGCCAUCCCCGGAGGAGCAGCUGGUGGAGCUCAGCCCGUCCUACCCAUCUCCGAUUUGUUUUGCUAGACCGCCUAGCCUCCUCCACCUCUUCAUCGUCACCAAGGACGCCGGCCAGCAACAGAACAAUGGCCCUGCUCUUGCUGGAGGAACAAUUAUACAGAAGAUUAGACCCUAAUAUUGAUGGUCUCCAGGGCUAGGGUUCUGUACUAAGUAGGAAAUAAGACCAGGUUGCAACCAGUAGUUGCGAACGGCCGGAGGGCCUCGCCCCUGAUACAGGCAUCUUGUUGUCGCGUCGUGCCUCUCUGCUGGGUAUAUGUAUAAUGAAGAGCUAAAGGGUUCUUCAGUUUGCAGUAGGCUGUAGCCUUCAUAACUACAUGCAAAGGCAGCUGAGUCCGGAACCAAGAAUGACAGCCUAGGCGGCUUGUUUAUACGAUGUUUCCCUUAUUGCACCUUGGUUGGGCGGUGAGGUUGAGGUGUUGUGCGGCAGGGUAACCAACCAAGGCCUAUUGUGUCCGCUGUCCCUGCAUUGAUGCCACAUCCACCCUAGCUAUCAUGUCGUCGUAGUUGAGGUCUUCCAAAGAUGAAACCAUACUGGAUAAUAAAGUUUAUGAAUCGGGUACCAUGACUUUGGAAUUCAGCUCCUACCCCUCCUCUGAUGUGGUGUUGUGAGAGCAAGAAAAAGAUCAGGCAUGCUCUGUCUCUACAUCGAGCGUCCACAUGGCCAGAUUGACCGGAAUAAACUCUGGGGUGAAACUUACUUGAUUGCAGACAGCCGGGGAAGAGUUUGCCAACAUUUGUCCCUGCUACAAGAUUUUUUGUUAAGCUGGUCUGGUAGUCUACUCCUUCGGAGAUGCUGCAAAUGGUGCGACCUCGCCAUGAAGCUCGUCACCCAUGUGCAGCGGGCAGAAACUGUCUGGUCUUACAACUUCGGAGCAUGAAGGUGAUAGUACGAUAUGCCCCUUCCCCUGCUGUUCUGCCUGCAGACGCAGCUCACGCCCAUGGGCUCGCCGUCUAGGUCAGUGUUGGGGCCUGGAUCUGGAAGAGGAGUAGAAUAUCCCGGCGAACAUCGACCAUGCUAGCGGCUCGAGAGAUGCGGGGUGACAGGACGCAGCGCAGCAGUCUAGACAGACAACAUGAGCGGAGUCCAAAAUAAAUUGGCAUUAGUGUUUUCUCAUGGGGUUCAACUUGACAAGGAUAAUGCCCAACCAACUGAAGACUUCAACAGCUUGGAUAUAUGGCGAUAGUUGUAAUAGCUGGUACUCCUUGAGCUUUUGCUUCUACAUGGUAAGCUUAGGCUCUCCAUGAAUAGUCCAUAUCAUCACAAGCAUUGAUAUAUGCUAUCUGUUCACACAAAAAAUAAGUGGGUCAAUUGCUUUUUUAGCUAAUUUUAUGAUAUCGGAAAGUUAAAUAGAUGUGACACAAAACUGAUGCACUUUUUCUCAGGGAUAGCAUGUCUUGAGCUACCUUAGUCGAUAUUGCUGAUCUCUCUACUAUCUCUCCCCUGAAGGUACAUCAACUGGGUCAGCAACAACAUUAAACACCGAUUCACGCGGAAAGCCCGGUGCAAGUACCAUCAAGUCUGACUUAUUAAUCACUUGUCCAAAUUAUUUUCAGAUGCUGCUUUGAACACAAGAAAGAUCCCAGGUUCUGCUACAUCAACAGGUAAGGGAUUGGUGUCUUCUGUCAACUUCCAGAUAACACACCAGCACCAAUAUGUUCGUUCAAGCCUCAAUCCCAGUGUCACUUUCACAACUCCAAGCGGAGGUUUCAGCUCUUCUUGCGGUGACAAUUGCAGAGCUGCUUCAUCCACAGCAGGUUACACUCCACACCAACAACACAAGGAAUCCUUCUAGCCCCCGGUCCAGUGGGAAAUUCAACAACAAGAGUUUAUUUUAUUGUUUUCCCGUCUAUUUUAUGAGUUGCGAUGAAAAAUUCAUCAACACAUUAUUGUCUCCCCGUCUAUUUUAUUAGUGCCAUACGUAAUAGAAACUGAUACAAGAGUCUAUUUUAUUAGCGCCAUACAAUAUAAAAACUGAUACAAGUCACUAGAUUACGCGCCAAGGUGCCCGCCUAAAUCUACAAAAUAAUAGAGUGGAAUUGGCCAAUUAAUUAUACACUAUGUAUGUUAGAAAAUGCAUUUUUUAUUUCAAUGUUUAUAAUUUUACUAGCAAACAAAUAUGAGUACAUCAGGAUGGUGCGCCGAGGCGCACCUGAUAAAAUUUAGGUUCUAUGGGAUGAGAUGAAGGGUAUGCUCCUCUCAAAGGUAUCAUGUUAUUUCGUGGAAGAAUUUGUCCUGGGCUAAUGGUUCACUUCAAUUCUGAGCUCCUCUUUCUAUUUCAUAGAAUAUCUUAGGCUAAUGUAAUAUGAUCCGGUCUUCAGGUCUUGCAUGUUAUAUCUGAGCUGAAACUAAACAUGAAUGCUUACUGGACCUUGGUCGAGACUUGGUAACCUUGGUGGAAACUAAACAUGUAGCCUCGGCGUACUAUUGAUCCCAAGUUUCAUGUUUAGUGGACCUUGGUGGAGACUCAUGUAGCCUCUGUAUACAUUCACAUUCGUUAUUGUUAUGAGAAUUCUUAAAUAUAUUUAUAUAUGAAUGCUAAGGUCCAUGGUUAAGUCAAAUUUUGUCUUUGAUUACUUCUUCCGCGGGGCUGUUGUUCCCUGUUAAUAAAAAGUCUUCAUAUGUAGCAUACCUGUAAGAUAUUGAUUGGUGUUGACUGCCUAGGAGCUUUGAGUUUAAUUAGGAAUCAACUUAAAACUUUAUUUAUAAAAUCAACAAUAUUAAUAGUUUAUAUUUCUUACAAACUAGCAUCCGAUGUAUCUGGUGUAACAAUCGAAGAGCGGUAUUGUUUUUUUUUUGCAAGUUCAUACAUUUAAGUGUUACUUAGAUUCAUGCAAAUGUACAUACCACUGAAUGUAGCUGUGAUUGUAUGUUGUGGUAUUUACAGCGUAAUUUAUCGUGUUUGCUUGGGGUCGCGCACCUAACUGUGCCUUACUUACAUCUGUUUCUCUUGACAGAACCAUAUGGUGUUAGUCAUUGUAAUACAUUUACCUAUUUUUCUGAUUGUGUUCCAAGAGUUGGAGCCAAUAGCCACGGUGUGCAGCGGCCAUGACGACAAGAUAAAAGCCUUCGCAGGCGUGGGUUCCUGAUAACAAACAAAAGCAGAUCUAGUUGGAUGCGGUGACUGACAAGGACGAGAGCGAACUGGCUAGGCGGGUCACCUAUGCGUUUCGGAGGUGCCAUACUCGGAGUUUAUUCCUCUGCCGGCAGGAGCACAUGCGUCACUCCGCCUCGAACUAUACCUACUACCGUAUCAGUCCGGCGAAUUGCCUUUGUGAGAUCCAGAAAAGUUCGAUGCUACGGCACUUGGUAGCGCUAGAUCUUGCAACUGUGAUCACAUAGUUUUUGCGAUUGUUAAUUGUAACCUGUGAAAUCUUUGUACAUUGAAUUUAUUUGGCUGUUAUCAAUGGUUUGUAUUUC